AGUGAACGCUGGCGGUAGGCCUAACACAUGCAAGUCGAACGGCAGCACAGUAAGAGCUUGCUCUUACGGGUGGCGAGUGGCGGACGGGUGAGGAAUACAUCGGAAUCUACUUUUUCGUGGGGGAUAACGUAGGGAAACUUACGCUAAUACCGCAUACGACCUACGGGUGAAAGCAGGGGAUCUUCGGACCUUGCGCGAUUGAAUGAGCCGAUGUCGGAUUAGCUAGUUGGCGGGGUAAAGGCCCACCAAGGCGACGAUCCGUAGCUGGUCUGAGAGGAUGAUCAGCCAAACUGGAACUGAGAAACGGUCCAGACUCCUACGGGAGGCAGCAGUGGGGAAUAUUGGACAAUGGGCGCAAGCCUGAUCCAGCCAUACCGCGUGGGUGAAGAAGGCCUUCGGGUUGUAAAGCCCUUUUGUUGGGAAAGAAAAGCAGCAGGUUAAUACCCCGCUGUUCUGACGGUACCCAAAGAAUAAGCACCGGCUAACUUCGU
rnacentral:rRNA from 1 species